GUAUUUUCCGCCCAUUCAAUUAUUCCAUUUAAUUAUUCCAUUCUAGUAAAUGAAAAACGAAAAAACGAGUCAAUAUUUUUAUUUGUUUUUCUAUCUAACCAAAAAAUAAAAGAUUAGUGUUUGUUUUUGCAUUUUCAGUUCAAAACAGAAUAUAUAAUAGAGAUGGAAACGAAAACAAAAUAAUAAAUGUACUUUUCAUUUUCGGGUUAUUGAUGUCCCCAUUUCCCAUGGUGCCUUUCUACUGUUCGCACAUGCGCAUUGUGCAACAAAGUAGCCAACAACGUGGACCAAAAACUCCAGGCCAGGGCGGUAGAGAAAGACUAACCUGCUGUCAUGGAGAUGGACGUAUCCUACGUAUUAGUUGAAGCCUCCAGGAGGGUCACGCUGAAGGAGGAAGAUAUGACUGUAGGAAAAAUUACAACCAGAGCUCUGUUGCAUCUUUCACCAUGGUAACUGUUGCCAAUGUAGCCUCCAUGCACGUAUGUUCAAAACAGGCGCACUCCAUCUUUUAUUUUUUUGGUUAUACAGGAAAACAAAUAAACUAAGUAUUGACCCGUUUUUGGUUUACUAGAUUGAAUGGAAUAAUUAAAUGGACAGAUAAUACAUGGACCUGACUUUAUCGUAUCAAGUUAUGUUAAUUAAUAAUUUGAAGAAGAAAAAAAGACUUUGAGUAGACUUCACAAUUUGACUUAUUUCAGCUUAUUUUCUUUUUCUGUUUUAAAGAGUAAAUUGCUAAAAAAUAAAAAGCAUUUAAAUAAAUUAAGAAUAAGGAAAAGAGAAGGCAUUUGUUUUCAACAUUGAUUUUAAAAAAGGAUGAAAAAGGCGAAAACAUAAGGUGGAAAUGAGUUGAGUCUGCAUGCCAUUUAAACUGUACUUCAUACAAGACAGUUUGAAUGGUAAAGUAAUCUGAAAAAUUAAAAUACUGUUUAUUUUUAUGCCUUAGCUUAAGAAAAUGCACCUUUGCAAAACAGUUCUCCGGUAGCCCAUAAAGUUUUCUUAUUCACAUAUACUUCAUAUACAUUAAAAUCAAAUGGCAAACAUCUAUCUAUCCACCCAUUCUCUUAAACUUCCUGAACCCAGGUCAGGGUGGCAGCAAGCUAAGCAAGUUGUUUAAGAAAACCCCCUCCCUGGCAAAGCUUUCCAGCUCAUCCUGGAGGAUCCUGAGUCAUCUCAUGCCAGACAGGAUACAUAACCCCUCCAGCACAUCCUGGGUCUACCCUGAGGUCUCUUUCCAGUAAGAGCUUGGUAGACUUCCAAAGGGGGGCCCUGCAGGCUUCCUUAUCAGAUGCCUGAAUCACCUCAAUUGGCUUUUGAUGCAAAAGAGUAGUGACUCUACUCUAAGCUCCCCCAGAAGUCCAAUUUGGUCAUGCAGGGACUAGAUGGCUCAAAAUAAAGCCCCUGUGACCCCAUACCCCCACAGCACCCUUUAUAAAAUCCACAAGGGACACACAGUUGCCUUCUCCAAGUCUACAUAACACAUGUAGAGUGGAUGAGCAAACUCUAACGCACCCUUUUGGAGUUCUGCAAAGCUAAAAAGCUGGUCCACUGUUGCACAGCCAGGACAGACUCCACAUGGUUCAUUCUGUGUCCAAGGUGAGAUAACAAUGGUCCAACAAGAAGAUGGACAAGAAAAUGGGAACCAUCACCCUGGAAUUCCACAGACACUGUCCCAGACCCUACACAACAGCCCAACCAAGGUCCAGAGUCCUCAGCAUCUUAGGGUGGAUCUCAUGUGUACCAGGCAAGUUGAGGAUCUGAGGAUCUUUUUGGCUUGCUCAGAAACCUCUGCCCUAUGGCUUAUACACUUUCUAUCGAUAAAUAUCUCAUGCACCUUGUUUCAACUACUUCAUUUGCAGAAAUUUUGAAUUGAUAUUCUCCAAAUUACCUUGAAUUUAUCUAGGGUGACCAUAUUCUGAAUUCCCAAAAAGAGGAAGCCACUAUGCAGGGUCCGAGUUGCAGAGUUGCGCAUAGUUAAUUUUGAGAGUUUUUCAGGUUGGGUUCAGUGUCUUUUACGCACUUCUAACUCAGUAUCAAACUCAAAACUUCUAUACAAAACCCCGGACAUUUGAAGAAUUUUAUAAACUUCCCCAGACAGCCCCCCAAAAAGAGGACAUGUCCGGGUAAAAGAGGACAUAUGGUCACCCUAAUUUAUCAGCAAACUGAAACAGAACUCCAUCACUUCAUUCACACAUAUCAGUAAAUUCUUCUUUCUUGGUUGUUUCAAGGUGUCAUUGCUAUUCCAAACAUGCCACCAGGUUUAUCUAGUUUCCCUCAACAUCCCCGCUAGUGGUUAUGUUUGUUUAUAAGAUUGCUUGAUAUGUCCAAGAAGAUCCUUUAUCACCUAUGGGAUGGACUUUGAUGAAUACCUGAUAGUAUACUACUGCCUAAAUCAAUACUCUGUUGGUCAGACACUGUUCUAGUCAAUACUAGCCAUGCCUUAACUCUGACCAAGUCAAUACUAGAGAGAUAUAAAGGGACAAAGGUGACAGGAACGGAUAGAUGUGACCAUCGUGGACUGGAAAAUAUGUAGGCAAGUCCUGGUCUUAGAAUUAAAUAAUUAAUCAGAACGGGUCGAUGCUGAUGGGUGUUAUUGUUGUUUGAUAAUCUGAAGCACCAGCUGGAGAUGGCUCUGGAGGAAAUCUGGGUAAGAGUGUGCACAUAAAUUUAAAAGGUGACGCUGAGGACACCUAAAUGUGUGUCAGUGACAUGUUCAGAAUAAUGUCAUUCCUCGGGUUAAAUCAAUAAAGAAUCCUCAUGUGCCCCAUCCUGUUUGAUCAAAUCCUUAAUUAUGUACCUGGAGGCAGAUGUAAUUGGUCGAAGCACAUUGAGACACAGAGUUUAGGUGAUUUCCUGUUCUGAAAUCAGCUCAAUUUUAAAUCAACAUAAGGACACUUGUGAUGCUUUUCAUGAGUGCAUCUCUUUUUUACUUUAAAUUACAUAUUUUUUAAGUUGUUUAUUCUUUAAAAAAAAAAAUUAACAUGCGGCGUCUUUUAAGACUGUCUCUAAUUUUGUCCUCGGAGCCUCUAUCUUCUCUUCACGAUGAGUACGAGGAGGUUUUCUGAGCAGAUUGCCCGAUAAUAGACACACCUUCAGACACUACUUGAAUUGAUUGCAACAUAUUGCUUUGUAAGUGAAGAUUCCUAUAAUCUCUUUUCCUUUCGUAUACCCAAGGGUCAUUACCUACCAGAGUAAUGCAUGAGAAAUAUUACUGACAAUAUGUCCUGGUGGUGGUUGAAGGACACAUAUUCCAGGCAGAAAUUUAGUGAGGCAUCUGCUCUUGAGUUGCACCAUAAUGGCUGGCUUGUGAAAAGUCUAUCCUAAAAUUUGGCUCUAUGUAUGUAACAGCAGACAAUGAGCUGUCUGCCAUCUGGGAACCAUCACAACUCUGCUCUCCAAUGCUUGCACACACUCGUGCAUUGGAAAUGAUCUGAAGAGGUUCUUCAAAUGCAACAUACUGUGGGAGGGAUGUGUUUUGGACGGAUCUAUUCUCUUUCGUGCUCAUAUUUGGCACCAAAAGGAAGAAACAGCAUUCAUUUUUCCCUCUUGUCAGGCAGCAUGCAACAUUAAAUUCCAGCGUAGUUUUUUCUCAUCUGACAACAGACAAGCCUGUUCUUUAUUCUGUCCCUCUGUCUACAUGCUCUCUCUCAUGAGGGGAAGUUUCAACUCAACAGAGCAUGGAUGUGUUUGAGUUUGAGCAAGGUGCUGAGAUUUCACCGAUUCUGUGAAGCCUGGGCGAAAUGGGAUUGUUGCUGUAGAGUAAGCUGGGAUCACAUUAUUAUGCUUUGAUAUAGUCUUGGGAGCUUCAGCUGGGGAAAAAAAGCCAUGUGUGCACAGAUAAUGUGCGCAAACAUAAAACUGAAUAUCUCUGUGUGGAUUGUGCGGCUUCAGUUCCUGUCUGGUACACAGAAAUUAACUGAGGUUAAUGCUCGCACCUUGGCUUAGAAAGAAAAUAGAGAGUACAGUAAGUGUGUGUGUGUGUGUGUGUGUGUGUGUGUGUGUGUAUGUGGACAGCACAUCGGGGUUGACCAUUUUCUCCUCUUCUGUAACUUCAUUACAGAAAUAUAAAAAGGAAGGCCAUUAGGGCAAACGCAUUCAGCAGCCUCUUAUUGAGAGAUGCUUUUAGAACAAUCUAAUUCUCCACAAAUUGUAUGGUACUCCAGCUCUCCACACACACACAUAUCUGUUCCUCCAAAUAUCACAGUGAGCUCAGUGAGAGCUGCAGGAAGAGGAGAUGGGUGGCACUCUGCUUCCCCGGUGAUAAAGCUGCACCUCAAAACAGGCUGUCUGCUCGCCCUGCUUUCUUGUUUUGAAAGAGAGAGAAUAGGGAAGAAGGGAAGACUAACAGAGAUUGCAAAAUCAGACAAAUCUGAACUUCAUUCUCAUAUCUCCUCCCUCCCUCUCGCUCCUCUCCAUGUUGUACUCCUCCAUCCCUCUCCUCCUUACCUCCCCUGACUGAGUUAUUAGAGAUGAGAGGAAGUCAUUCUCGCCAUGUGGUUAUUAGUAUUGAUCUGAGCGCCGUUCAACAGCCGUUUCCUGCUGAUUUCCUCUCAUUUGCCCCCCCUUCCUUUCCUUCUUUCUAUCCUAUAAUGGUGCCCUGACCCCUCCCCCACUCCAACCUAUCCAUCUUUGGCUCUCCAGCUUCUCCACAGUGAAGUUUUUAACGUAGUGCUUUGUCCACGGAGUCUGACUGAUUUACUGAAUAUUGUGGCCUUAAUGCUGCUACACAUAAGCACACCAGCUGACCACAGAAACUAUAAAUUCACAUUCAAGCCCGGGACAGAGUAUUUUAUUGAGCAAUAACGACCGCACACACACACAUCCACUCUAUUCCUGCUGUUAGCCCUGAGAGCAGUCAUGCUCACAUACACACACACACACAUGCACACACGUCUAUUACUGAAACAAUCACUGUUUACUACAGGGACCUCUGACUCUCCUUACUUGGAGGCUUGUAAUACUUUGUGUGGUUUUCUGCUUUGUUUUUUUUCUUUCUUUUUGGACUCGAAGCGAACUAAAAGACAUUGUAUUGGCACGAAAAAGCAGUACAUCAUGUAAUUGGCUUCUAAUUUAGUGCAAUAAGAAGAUGUCAGCUUUAAUCAGACCUUCUGUCUCUGCAAGUGAAAAACAACUGUUCAUUUGAAUACACACAUGUACAAAAGCACACAUAUGCUGUAUACACACUGCAACUCAAAUGACAGCACUGGUGCAAGACUCAGUGAUCAGUGUCUCUAUUAUUAAUGGAGCAUUUAAAUAACACAGGUUGAAGCAUGUGUAUUAUUCAUAGUACAUUUCCUGUCAAUAUCACUUUCAAGGGAUACAUAUGUAUGUAAUGAAUCUUCAAAAGUUAUUACUGUGUUAAAAAGACUUAAAAUAAUGAUAUAUAUUUUAAAAUAUAUAGUAAAAUGCCAUUCAAAAUAAGGUGAAUUUUAAUUACAUUUAGUUACAGUAAAAGUUUGUGUAGGUAAAUGUUUAGUUCCAUCUGAGAUGUGUUGC